AUUCCAGCUCCAAUAGCGUAUAUUAAAGUUGUUGUGGUUAAAAAGCUCGUAGUUGGAUCUCGGCGGUCUGAGGGCGGUUCGCUUCAGAGCGCUACUGCCCUAUAGACCGUAGUUUUGCCAGAGGUCUCAGGGUGCUCUUAACCGAGUGUCUUGCGAUGCUGGCAGGUUUACUUUGAAAAAAUUAGAGUGCUCAAAGCAGGCUUUUACGCCUGAAUAUUCGUGCAUGGAAUAAUAGAAUAGGAAGUCGUUUCUAUUUUGUUGGUUUUCGGAAAUCGACUUAAUGAUUAAUAGGGACAGUCGGGGGCAUUCGUAUUUCAAUGUCAGAGGUGAAAUUCUUGGAUUUUUGAAAGACGAACUUCUGCGAAAGCAUUUGCCAGGGAUGUUUUCAUUA
rnacentral:rRNA from 1 species